rnacentral:lncRNA from 1 species
CAGCGUCAAAGUUGAUUUUAACAUAAUUCUCCUCAAGAGGUCUCCAGUUUUCCGUCAUCAGUUUGUUAACAGGUAACUGCUUACAUAUUCCAUCCAACUCUCACAAGUAGAUAAGAAUGAAUUGAGUCAAUUUAUCACUUUUUUGCAUCUGUUUUUUAUGAACCCAUUUAUUUCUGGCUGUCCACACAGCCCAUAUAGCACACAUAAUAGUUCUAAUUUUAUGGGCUCACUCAUUUUCGAGAAGAACCUGGAUCCAAUCCUUAAACUGGAAUUGAUCUUGCUCCAGGGUCCACCCAAUCCCUAAUUUGGCCCAAAUAUCGUGUACCAGAGGGCAGUCUCUAAACACAUGUUCUACCGUUUCUUCACUUUACGAGUAUCUUGGACAGAUUACGAAGCUUACCAGCUUUCGUCGAAAAAGAUUAGUUUGAGUAGGAAGGAAAUUAUUUAGAGUUUUUCAUACUAAUAUUUUAAUCUUCAAUGGCAUAUCCACAAGCCAAAAUUUCUUGUACAUAGAUUUGUAUUGGCUUUGCAAGGUCUGUAAAUUAAUGUCCCAAUCAUUUUGUAACUGCUGCGUACUAUGUAAGUCCCCGAAGCUUUUGCUCUCCACACCAUGCUAUUUGUUUCUUUUUCAAUUGAGAGAGGAACACACAAAAUCUUCUCAGCCUCAUCAUGGUGAAAGGUAUUUCUAAUUAACUCCUCUUUUCAUUUAUUUUCAUAUUGUUCAAUUAACUCAGAAAGGUAUACUAAAUUUGGG